rnacentral:rRNA from 1 species
AACGAACGCUGGCGGCGCGCCUAAUACAUGCAAGUCGAGCGAGAAGGUGUAGCAAUACACUUGUAAAGCGGCGAACGGGUGAGGAAUACAUGGGUAAUCUACCAUCGAGUGGGGAAUAACCAGCCGAAAGGUUGGCUAAUACCGCGUACGCCUCCGAAUCUUCGGGUUCGGAGGGAAAGCCACACUGUGAGUGCGGCGCUCUUUGAUGAGCUCAUGUCCUAUCAGCUUGUUGGUAGGGUAACGGCCUACCAAGGCUUUGACGGGUAGCUGGUCUGAGAGGACGAUCAGCCACACUGGCACUGCGACACGGGCCAGACUCCUACGGGAGGCAGCAGUAAGGAAUAUUGCGCAAUGGGCGAAAGCCUGACGCAGCGACGCCGCGUGGGGAUGAAGGUCUUCGGAUUGUAAACCCCUUUCGGGAGGGAAGAUGGAGCGAGCAAUCGUUCGGACGGUACCUCCAGAAGCAGCCACGGCCAACUUCGUGCCAGCAGC